ACCCCUGGUGCAUAGCCUACCUUUCCUGCAACUUCCUGAAGAAGUUGCAGGAAAGGUAAUUGGUAAAAGAUAAUUGGUAUUGGAAACGUAUUGGGGAAAAAAACUUUUUUAAUCUUAUUUAUCACAGAAUGUGCCAGAUGUAUGCCUUGGAUUUUUUUUUCUUGAUGCCCAUUCAUUUCCAUGUAGGCUACUUUCAAGGCUGCAUAAUGAGGUUUAUGGGUAAUAGAAGAAGUCCGAACCAAGCUAACAGACACCGUCUUAUUAUCAGGAUUACAAAUUCAGCAGUUUGGACUUCUGUUUGUGUCCACCUGUUAAUCUAACUUUGUCUGUUUGGUGCUGGGCGGAGAUACCUGGCGCAUUCCAAGUAUCUGGCUGCAUGCUCAAACUUUUUUUUUACCAGUUUGAGGCUCCCAAGAGGAUCCUUACAGACCAGGGAAAGGAGUUUGUAAAUCAGAUCAACACUGAUGUCUUCAAGAUCCUUGGGAUAAAAAGAAGCCUUUGUGCCCCUUAUCAUCCUCAAACCAAUGGUCUUGUUGAGAAAAUGAAUUGUACCAUAUAAAGGCUGCUCAACACACCAUUGCCGCAAGCCACAUCAAAAACAGAAAGACCACAAAAUCAAAUUUCAAGGUGUGUGACAAAGUGUGUGCCAAAUGUGAGAACCCAGCGGCGAAAGGGCAGAAAGUUGGAGCCUGACUUCUUGGGGCCUUUCCCAGUCAUAACUCUACAGGACAAGAGUGCUGAUCUGGAAAGUGAGGGAGGUCGUGUUUUUCCUAAAAUCAACACCAACCACCUGAAAAUACACAAUUGAAGAAAGGGGAAAGAAUACCACAUAAGAUCCCCAACUCCACAGGGGUAACCUCUGCCUCGAUCCCUGCCUCCACCUCCACCCCUGCUUCAACCUCAACCUCUGACUCCAAAUCCAUCCUUGCCUCCAUCUCCACCCCUGCUUCAGUCUCUACUCCUACCUUAACCUAUGGUCUCCACUCCCAGCCCUGCCUCAACCUCUACCCAUUCCUCCAGAAGGGCAACCUAGACCUCUGACUCCACAUCCAUCUCUGCCUCCACCUCUGCUUCCACCUCUACUCCUGCUUCAACCGUGAGCUACACUGUAUCACCUACCACUGAUAAAUGUAUGUCUUUCUUUUACUCUACAGUAGUGACACCUGAUCAAACAGUUUGUCGAUGUGAAUUUAUAGAAAGGCAAUUGUUUUGGCAUUAUUACAAUGGCAGUACUUUUAGCUAAGAAGCAUUAUUUAUUUUAAUUACCUACAUUUAAAGCUAUAAUGCGUAGUUUCUGUCUCCCCAUGAGGAAUUCUUAGUAAUGACAACAACACUGUCAGCGCAUCCGUAUAAUACAGCCUUCUGUGACCGUGCACUGCCCCCACCCCUCCUCCACGCAGUUGCUAGUAGCCAAGCA